UGCCGCCGGGCCUGGUGUGUUCCUCCAGCUCGAUCCACACCGUGUUGCCUGACUCCAGCAUCUGCAGUUCUUGCUACCUCUUGUUCAGUCUUGGGAGUUACGGGGCUACAGAGAGGGAGGAGUUAAAUUCACCAUGGGCUCCUGAUCAGGAGCGACAGAAAUGGUGAAGCCGGGGGCCGCCUGACCAGGGGAUGCAGAUUUCCACCACUGGCAAAAAGAAACAAAAGUGUCUGCUAUGACUAGGACCAGACUGCCAUCAUUAUUUGACUGGGAACAGCUUAUAGAGUCAGAGAGACCGGAUGCAGUGCAAUCAUGUGAUCAAAAGGUAGGAACCUGAGGACAUGUGGCUGAAGAUUUAAUGUGAUCAACAUCACGUGACACGAAUUGGAAAACCCAGCAGAUGGAAGGAUCUGUUUCUAGAGACAGUAAAAACUGCAGAUCUGUUUCCAGUUCUUUUGUGAUGUUAUUUUUAACCUGAGGUCUUUUUUGUGGACUGGCCUCCACGUGGCAAUGUUUCCCCAAUGAGCGCAUGUAUUGGAAGCUGGAGUGGGUGACUUCUAUCUGUUAACAUUCCAACUGGGCAUUACCUCUCCAUGCCUUCUCCUCAUGCCAAUACACUCUGCCCAAAACAUUCUGAAGACAUGCUUAAAUAAAGUCAGUGUACAAUAA